AAAUUGAAGAGUUUGAUCAUGGCUCAGAUUGAACGCUGGCGGCAGGCCUAACACAUGCAAGUCGAGCGGAAACGAGUUAUCUGAACCUUCGGAGGACGAUAACGGCGUCGAGCGGCGGACGGGUGAGUAAUGCCUAGGAAAUUGCCCUGAUGUGGGGGAUAACCAUUGGAAACGAUGGCUAAUACCGCAUAAUGCCUACGGGCCAAAGAGGGGGACCUUCGGGCCUCUCGCGUCAGGAUAUGCCUAGGUGGGAUUAGCUAGUUGGUGAGGUAAUGGCUCACCAAGGCGACGAUCCCUAGCUGGUCUGAGAGGAUGAUCAGCCACACUGGAACUGAGACACGGUCCAGACUCCUACGGGAGGCAGCAGUGGGGAAUAUUGCACAAUGGGCGCAAGCCUGAUGCAGCCAUGCCGCGUGUGUGAAGAAGGCCUUCGGGUUGUAAAGCACUUUCAGUCGUGAGGAAGGUAGUGUAGUUAAUAGCUGCAUUAUUUGACGUUAGCGACAGAAGAAGCACCGGCUAACUCCGUGCCAGCAGCCGCGGUAAUACGGAGGGUGCGAGCGUUAAUCGGAAUUACUGGGCGUAAAGCGCAUGCAGGUGGUUUGUUAAGUCAGAUGUGAAAGCCCGGGGCUCAACCUCGGAAUAGCAUUUGAAACUGGCAGACUAGAGUACUGUAGAGGGGGGUAGAAUUUCAGGUGUAGCGGUGAAAUGCGUAGAGAUCUGAAGGAAUACCGGUGGCGAAGGCGGCCCCCUGGACAGAUACUGACACUCAGAUGCGAAAGCGUGGGGAGCAAACAGGAUUAGAUACCCUGGUAGUCCACGCCGUAAACGAUGUCUACUUGGAGGUUGUGGCCUUGAGCCGUGGCUUUCGGAGCUAACGCGUUAAGUAGACCGCCUGGGGAGUACGGUCGCAAGAUUAAAACUCAAAUGAAUUGACGGGGGCCCGCACAAGCGGUGGAGCAUGUGGUUUAAUUCGAUGCAACGCGAAGAACCUUACCUACUCUUGACAUCCAGAGAACUUUCCAGAGAUGGAUUGGUGCCUUCGGGAACUCUGAGACAGGUGCUGCAUGGCUGUCGUCAGCUCGUGUUGUGAAAUGUUGGGUUAAGUCCCGCAACGAGCGCAACCCUUAUCCUUGUUUGCCAGCGAGUAAUGUCGGGAACUCCAGGGAGACUGCCGGUGAUAAACCGGAGGAAGGUGGGGACGACGUCAAGUCAUCAUGGCCCUUACGAGUAGGGCUACACACGUGCUACAAUGGCGCAUACAGAGGGCAGCAAGCUAGCGAUAGUGAGCGAAUCCCAAAAAGUGCGUCGUAGUCCGGAUUGGAGUCUGCAACUCGACUCCAUGAAGUCGGAAUCGCUAGUAAUCGUGGAUCAGAAUGCCACGGUGAAUACGUUCCCGGGCCUUGUACACACCGCCCGUCACACCAUGGGAGUGGGCUGCAAAAGAAGUAGGUAGUUUAACCUUCGGGAGGACGCUUACCACUUUGUGGUUCAUGACUGGGGUGAAGUCGUAACAAGGUAGCGCUAGGGGAACCUGGCGCUGGAUCACCUCCUUAAACGAUGAU
rnacentral:rRNA from 1 species